GCGACAGGUAUGUCGGCUCCUGUGGUGCUCUGGUAGGGUUUCUUGCUGUUGUGCUAAGGGCAUUUGUUUUUGUGCCCUAGAGCGACUGGUGUUCCCAUUUGGUGUGCCGCGAGUUCGUGUGUGUGUGUGCGUCCCCCGCUCCUGGCUGCAUUGUCAGUGUUCCAGGAGUUGACACAGAGCCAGUAGGAAACACCAUCCUCCUCUCCCCAGCCCAGGAUCUUGAUGACAUGUCUACCCACAGCAGAGCCUGAAACGUGUUGAUACACACCUGGAGACAGGAAGAGGACACAGGAAACACAAGUGGGAACCACGAGGUCCCAAGCAACACUCUACACAAUCACUGAGCAGAAUAUGCAGUUAGGGUUCACCCUGUACUCAAUAUUCAGUGUAAUGCGUGUUUGCAUUACAUCUCUUACUGGUGCAUGUGUUCUUGCCAGACUUGCACAAUACAAAGUCUUCAUAGACUUUAAAUGCUCCCUCUACUGGGUUGUUCUUGUAUAUCUCAGUCUGAAUCUGGAUCACAUUUGAUAAUGUGAUAAUGCCCGAGGGCCAACCAUCCUGUCUCACAUUCUUUGAACCAUUAAACCUGUCAAAGAUCAUAGAGGUAUGAGAUCCCCGAGUCAGCCAUAGGUGUGGGGUUCUGGCAGAAUAACAGCAAAAUAAGGGAACACAGUAUGAUAUUAUAACCUGUGAUUUAUGAUUGAUUCAUGCUAUAACAUAAUAAAUGUGUUUAAACUAACCAAA